rnacentral:rRNA from 1 species
CCUACGGGCGGCAGCAGUGAGGAAUAUUGGUCAAUGGACGCAAGUCUGAACCAGCCAUGCCGCGUGCAGGAAGACGGCUCUAUGAGUUGUAAACUGCUUUUGUACGAGGGUAAACUCAGAUACGUGUACCUUUCUGAAAGUAUCUUACGAAUAAGGAUCGGCUAACUCCGUGCCAGCAGCCGCGGUAAUACGGAGGAUCCAAGCGUUAUCCGGAUUUAUUGGGUUUAAAGGGUGCGUAGGCGGGCGGUUAAGUUAGUGGUGAAAUCCCGAGGCUCAACUGCGGAAUUGCCUCUGAUACUGGUAGGCUAGAGAGUAGUUGCGGUAGGCGGAAUGUAUGGUGUAGCGGUGAAAUGCUUAGAGAUCAUAAAGAACACCGAUUGCGAAGGCAGCUUACCAAGCUACUUCUGACGUUGAGGCACGAAAGCGUGGGGAGCAAACAGGAUUAGAUACCCGAGUAGUC